rnacentral:rRNA from 1 species
AUUGAACGCUGGCGGCAGGCCUUACACAUGCAAGUCGGACGAGUGGCGAACGGGUGAGUAACGUAUCGGAACGUACCGAGUAGGGGGGGAUAACUGUCCGAAAGGAUAGCUAAUACCGCAUACUAUCGGAGCGGCCGAUGUCGGAUUAGCUGGUUGGUGGGGUAAAGGCCCACCCAGGCGACGAUCCGUAGCGGGUCUGAGAGGAUGAACGGCCACAUUGGGACUGAGACACGGCCCAGACUCCUACGGGAGGCAGCAGUGGGGAAUUUUGCACAAUGGGCGCAAGCCUGAUCCAGCCAUGCCGCGUGUCUGAAGAAGGCCUUCGGGUUGUAAAGUACUUUUGUCAGGGAAGCGGUACCUGAAGAAUAAGCACCGGCUAACUACGUGCCAGCAGCCGCGGUAAUAC